CUACGGGUCGCUGCAGUGAGGAAUAUUGGUCAAUGGGCGCAAGCCUGAACCAGCCAUGCCGCGUGAAGGAUGACGGCCCUAUGGGUUGUAAACUUCUUUUAUACGGGAAGAAACGUCUCUACGUGUAGAGGUUUGACGGUACCGUACGAAUAAGCAUCGGCUAACUCCGUGCCAGCAGCCGCGGUAAUACGGAGGAUGCAAGCGUUAUCCGGAUUUAUUGGGUUUAAAGGGUACGUAGGCGGAAGAUUAAGUCAGUAGUGAAAUCCUGCAGCUUAACUGUAGAACUGUUAUUGAUACUGGUUUUCUUGAAUGUAGUUGAGGUAGGCGGAAUAAGUAAUGUAGCGGUGAAAUGCUUAGAUAUUACUUAGAACACCGAUUGCGAAGGCAGCUUACUAAGCUAUGAUUGACGCUGAGGUACGAAAGCGUGGGGAGCGAACAGGAUUAGAUACCCGCGUAGUC
rnacentral:rRNA from 1 species